UAAGGAUAUAUAUGAUAUAUG
rnacentral:piRNA from 1 species